CAAUCUCUAACCCACGAACUUCUACAUACCUCAGGUGAGACCAUUAAAAAAAAAAAAGUGGAUCGUGGGAGUGGGAGAAGGGAUGAACACCUGUGAUUAUUUGCCAUUUUACCCACCAGAUCUAUUCUCUGACACCCUCAGCCCCCACUUCGUGCUCUCAGAGGCUUUACUCUACAGCGUAUAUAUCCCAGAAUUCCUCAUCCUUUGGCCUCUGUUCAGAUGCGACCAAUUUAAGUCCCAUCAGUCAGUCAUAGGAUGAAAAGAGAGAGAGAGAGAGAUUAGGGUAUUUACUCCCCUUAUUCUCUCCCUAGUGAAGUGUAGUUUGUUAGUACCUCUGGUUCGCUAUCUACAGUUACAAGCUCCAGUCAGAACCUCAGCCGACACUAAAGACUGAAGGUUGACGACUGCCUUCUGAGUGAGAAGGGUGGAAAUUUCUCAUGCUUGAUCACAGCCCAAAGAUAAUUUAGUCCUGGAAAAUACACACACCAUAUCUUUAUUCAUCUAGAGGUCUUAUCCUGUAUGUGAAGAGAAAGAAAAAAAAAAAAAAAAAAAAAAAAAAGAAGAAGAAGAGCCACACACAGUUGAAAUAUUCCAUGUGUCUGGUCUUUACUAAGGCAUAUUCUCCUGAGAAUAACCAUUUGAAGUAUGUUUUACAAAUUGAAUUUUUAAUGGAAUAUGUGUAGUAUGAGGUCAGGAGAAAUUCUUUGGUUAUUUCUUUGAAGUUUAAUGUUUUAAAAAUAAUGCCAAUACAGAUUUAGGAAUCUUUCAAAAUUACAUAACUGUGGUUUAGUCUUGCUUUUUAACCUAGAGGUAUAAUCUUUUUUUUUCCCCCUUUGAAAGACACCAGCAAAGCAAUGGUCUGAGAAAUCUCUCCUUUUCCCACCCCCUUGUGUUUUGGCCAAAAUUAUGCUCACAUCUGUCCAGAGUGGAGGAAGUCCCAGCCACCAUGUGAAAGUCUUUGUGCUUUCAGCCUGCAGCCUAGGAAAUUACUACCUGUGUGGGCAAAUCCUCAAUGCAUUUAACUGUGAAGUCCCACAAAACUCAAAACUCAGCAAAAAGAAAGGGGGGAAGGGAGACAGAAAGAAAGAGAGAGACAGACAGACAAAAAGAAAUCUCCACCUCUUCCAUCAGAAUGCUCACCAUAUUUUAAAGUUUCAUAGCCAGAGUUACACAUAAAGCAGAGUAGAGAAUCAGGAAUAUUUGUCCACUUAUAAGUGGAAACAAAAAAAACCCACAGAAUACCCUUAAUGACAAUUAAGAAUGUUUUUGCAAUAACAAAAAUAAUAUAGUCACCAAAUUUUGUGCCAGAGUUUACUCAUUUGCUCAUCACUUCAAAUCUAUUUAAUACAGAUUAUUAUAUCUGUUUUUUGUUUGUUUGUUUUUCUUUUUAG